UACGUAGGGUGCAGGCGUUAAUCGGAAUUACUGGGCGUAAAGCGUGCGCAGGCGGUUUGCUAAGACAGGUGUGAAAUCCCCGGGCUUAACCUGGGAACGUGCGCUUGUUACUGGCAGGCUUGAGUGUGGCAGAGGGGGGUGAAAUUCCACGUGUAGCAGUGAAAUGCGUAGAGAUUACUAAGAACACCAAUGGCGAAGGCAGCUUGCUGGGCCUUUUCUGACGCUGAGGUACGAAAGCGUGGGGAGCGAACAGG
rnacentral:rRNA from 1 species